GUUUAAACCUGUGAUUUUUAAAAGUCUAUUUAAAAAAAAAUCCUUCUAUGGUAAACACUUGAAAUGGUUUUAUUUCCCUGCUACAGAAACCCCACUGCCUCCCUUCCUAAGCAGGGGCUACGUCCUACCCAGCAGAUCUGGGGGCUUUUUUAUUGGGAACUAGGACAGGUGGGUUCAUGGUCAAGACAUCAAGAAGCCGCCCCGCAAGGGGUCAAGCAGCUGUGGGAGGCCAGGAGAAAGCUUGAGUCUGAAGCCAGAAUGUGGUCUGGGCCUCGCUGAUGAGACGCAGGAGAUGGCCAUGAACAGACUUGCUCCAAAUGGCACCGAUUAUUUAUGGGCAGAAUAGCAGCCCAAAUAAAAGUCUGCAGGGCACAAAAACAGGGUCAACAGUGCGCAGACUCGGCAGAAACCACGAGACUGCGUCUGCAAGGACAGAUAGAGGUUAAGGCAUGAGCAAAUGUGAGCAGAAGCAGGACUUCACGGAGGGGGCAUCGCAGGUGACAGCACUAAAUCACUACUGUGAAUCCACGCUCAUCGAAAGGCAUGAAGGAACCUCGCUUUGCUGUGUUCAUCGCUGAUGCUGGUCACACUUAUUCCUUAACCGACCCAAUCAGGCCAUUUGCAGAUGGCCCCCCAGUAGUGGAAGAGGGCUGGUGUUCCCUUCUCUCCAGAGCCAGUUACAGAACCGGCUGCAACCUGUGUCCUCAGACCCAUCUUCCCCGGCUCUGGCUCCGUCCUUUAGGAGUGAUUUAUCCUGGGGUCUGACUCCCGAGCAGAGCCGCAGUGUCGGCCUUGAAGGAAAGCCAGACGCAGCCCGGCCUGGCUCUGGGCCAGCCAGCUGGCGGCGGAGCUGCGGGCUCUUGGGGUCCCCCGGCCCCCCUUUCAGCUGUCUCGCCCAGGUGAUCAUCCACGCUGCCGCUCCCUGGCUCUUUCUAGCCCCUCAUUUCAGAUCACUUUACACACGUUAAUUAAGCCUUGAAACACUCAGGAAAGAAAAUCGAAGCGCUAACUGGGAUGUCAGCCACGCCCCUCCCCAGUCAGGAGGAAGAAGGAGCUGGUAAAGCACGGGGUUGGGAUGAACCGGUUCCACAAGAGGCAGGAAACCCCGUUCACUUCAAAUUCACCAGUCAGCGUCACAGAACAACCUCCCACCUCAUGGUCCCCCAUCACGGUUGAUCCUGGUGACCAUCGGAAGGCGGGUUCCCCUGGGCAAGACUGCUGACUGAGAGGCAGCAUCCAUCCUAAAGGAAAUCAACCCUGAAUGUUCACUGGAAGGACUGAUGCUGAAGCUGGAGCUCCAAUGCUUUGGACACCUGAUGCGAAGAGCUGACUCACUGGAAAAGACCCUGAUGCUGGGAAAGACUGAAGGCGGGAAGAGAAGGGGAUGACAGAGGGUGAGAUGCUUCAGUGGUAUCACUGACUCAGUGGACAUGAGUUUGAACAAGCUCCGGGAGUUGGUGAAGGAUGGGGAAGCCUGGCGUGCUGCAGUCCAUGGGGCUGCAGAGAGUCGGACACGACGGAACAACCACCAUCUGGGUCAUGCUGUUAGGAAGCCUUCAGUCUGCACCGCAGUGGUGAGGCUUAUGGUCACGGCUUUGGGAUCAGAGAGGCCUUGGCCAUCCCCGGCCCUGCCACUUUCAGCUGCUGUCCCGUGCACUUUACUCGGAAUCCUGGAUCCCGCUGUUUCUGCUGUUAAAGGGACAUGAGAGCAUCCACCCCUGCCACCACCAUCCCCACCCCCCACCCUGCCAACGUGGUUUCUGCGGAGGAUGAAAUUAGAUCAGGCAUGCAAAAUAUUGAGGACCAAAAUGUAAAACAUAUUUAUGUUUGGCACAUAAAAUGGUAUAUUUUAUAGUUUUCUGAACCAUCUCCCUAGCUAAUCCCAGUCCAUCUGAAUUAAUGCAGUUCUCUCGCUGCGUUGGAAGCUUUUUCUCAAAUUAACACUGAAGUCUCUCAUUGACAAGAAAUGGUUGGGGGAUCCCCGUGAAGCCUGUAGUUCAGUUGACAGCGUAUACCAUUUCCGUGUCUUAGUUUUGAUAAAUAUGUCACGGACAUUUUCACAGUGUGGACAUUUCAGGAAGUUGGGUGAGUGGUCCUGGAACCCUUCUUUCUUUGCAACCAAUGCUCAGCUGACAACAGCAAUAAUCCUAUUAAAAUGCGUCAAAAUCAGUAACGCUCACCCAGUAGGGGAGAACAUCAUCUCUGCUUUUAGUACACAUUAAUAAAAAUACCUCCUUAGGGUUCAAAAUUGCCCAUUUUUGUUGUUGUUACCAAAAUAAGAGGCAAUUGAAUGUUAUCUCUAGCUGUUUUCACCACCAAGAAAAAUUCCUUGAGUUUCCAGGGUCGGCAGGGCACCAUCUUGAACGUUAAAAUAACAAACAUUACCAUCAGGAAAAAUAAAGACAGAAAAACACCUGCGGGGGAGUCAUUUUAAGAAAUCGCAUUGUGGAGAAUACUUGUAAUUCAUCCACUGACUCUUCUUGAUGACAUUGAACUUGGCAAUAAGGAACUUUCAGUGUGAGAUUGGAUCAUUUUGUCUCAAAGAGCAAAGAACUGAUUCCUUAAAAGAUUGAGAAAAUAUGAAUUUCUGCUGAUGCAAACCAGGAAUGCAAGCCUUUCCUAUUAUUCUCCCAGCAAGUUAAAUGUGGAAGUGGAAUCAUUUCUUAUAAAACGAGUAGGCAAAGAGAUCAUUAAGCCUUUCACUUACACUUACUUUGAGCAGCCACAAAAAUAAGCCAAGGAACAAAUGCUUCGGUCUCAGAUGAGAGCAGGGUGGGUUGAAGAGACUGCGGGGUGGGUGGGGGUGUGGAGGUCUCAGUGAAAGGCACCCCACCUUUCCUGUUGAACCCCUUCACAUUCAGUCGUCUGGGUAAAAGUCCCCGUUACUCAGGGAGAAAGGCGGUCAUCCCAUCACAAGGCUGCAAGACAUGGGGGUCACUGUCCGCCCCCACCCCCUGCCUCCGUUGCCCUGGCUCCCAUGGGCGCCCCUCACUAAUGCUCCAGAGUACCCCCAGGCCCCCGCCCUGGGGACGCUGCUGCUUUGUCUCCUGGGAGCCCCUGCUCUCCAAAGCUCUACUUUCUUCUGGCUUUCCUCCCACCUUCCGGCGGGUCCCGCCUAGUCUUUCCUCCUCUGCCUGCUUCCUGGUGCUGGUGUGCUAUCAUGGGCUUUUCUUCCUCUUUUCUUCCCACUUGCUCUCUCUCUGGGUGAUCACAUCCAUUUCUGUGCCUUAGAAUGAUCACCAAGACCCCAUAACCAGCACCCAGCUCCCUCCUGAAUUCCACACCUUUGUCGCCAAAAAGCUCAUCAUCUGCUCGAUGCUGGUACUUUGCUGUCGCCUCAAACUCAAUAACCGUAUUCCUACUCUGAGUGAUUUACCGUCCCGCUCCAAGCC
ensembl:lncRNA